GUUCCUAUAGUGCAAUGGAUAGCACGUUGGACUUGUAAUCCAAAGGUCACAGAUUCGAGUUUUAUCUGGUAUG